rnacentral:tRNA from 1 species
GGCCCUAUAGCUCAGCGGUAGAGCGUCGGCUUCCAGUUCCGAAGGUUGUCCGUUCGAAUCGGGCUGGGGUCA